rnacentral:rRNA from 1 species
AUUGAACGCUGGCGGCAUGCUUUACACAUGCAAGCCGAACGGUAACAGGUUAAGCUGACGAGUGGCGAACGGGUGAGUAAUGCAUCGGAACGUGCCCGAUCGUGGGGGAUAACGCAGCGAAAGCUGCGCUAAUACCGCAUACGAUCUGAGGAUGAAAGCGGGGGACCGUAAGGCCUCGCGCGAUCGGAGCGGCCGAUGUCAGAUUAGGUAGUUGGUGGGGUAAAGGCUCACCAAGCCAACGAUCUGUAGCUGGUCUGAGAGGACGACCAGCCACACUGGGACUGAGACACGGCCCAGACUCCUACGGGAGGCAGCAGUGGGGAAUUUUGGACAAUGGGCGAAAGCCUGAUCCAGCAAUGCCGCGUGCAGAAAGAAGGCCUUCGGGUUGUAAACUGCUUUUGUACGGAGCGAAAAGGCUCUCUCUAAUACAGGGGGCUCAUGACGGUACCGUAAGAAUAAGCACCGGCUAACUACGUGCCAGCCGCCGCCGUAACAC